GGAGUUUGGACCGUGUCUCAGUUCCAAUGUGGGGGACCUUCCUCUCAGAACCCCUACUGAUCGAAGGCUCGGUGGGCCGUUACCCCGCCGACUGCCUAAUCAGACGCAUCCCCAUCCCUUAGCGAAGAUUCUUUGCUCCUAAACCGAUGCCCGAAAAGGAGAACAUAGGGCAUUAAUCCGACUUUCGUCC
rnacentral:rRNA from 1 species